rnacentral:lncRNA from 10 species
GAGUUGUUCUGUGUAUUGGGUGGAGGAGGGUGAAUCCGAGAGGAGGGAGGAGGGUGAAUCCGAGAGGAGGAAGGAGGAUGAAGAGCCUAGCCUGCGCCCCACCUCUGAUUGUGUAAGCGCCUUUAUCUAGGGUUGACCCCCUACCCUUUGCAUUUUGUCUCUUGGGAUGACGAAAAAUGGACAGAAACUCGACGCCCAAGUGAAUGUUUCACAUUGAUUGGCAGGGAAAGUGCAAACAAAGAGGUGCAUCUCCGGGAAACAAUGAUUUUGGAGAUCCCCUGCCCACCACCCCAGACUUGUGCGCGGUGCGGAGGGGGCCAGGGCUGGCAUCUCCCGGGGAAAGUUUCGAGCCUGGCAGUGGGAGGAGACCGUCUGGGCAGAGUUGUGAUGAACUGGGGACCGAGCAGCCCCAGCUCGCCUCGGAGGUUCCCGAGCCGGGCGGGAGAUGCGGGGAGAGGGA